CUUGGGCAACCUGUUCAGUGCGUCACCACCCUCUGGCUGAAAAAACUUCUAAGUUUCCUUCUAGUUCUGCUGCAGUCCAUCCUUUGCAGAAGUGCAGGGCCAGAGCUGAGCGUGGCAGCACAGCCAGCACCCAGCAUCACUCCACUUAACCUGGAUGGAACCCCCCCCUAUUUCCAGGCCCAGCAGCACACCUGGCCCAGCUGAACCCACAAACAAAAGCUGCAUUGGCAAUAAGUCAGCACAGACCUCCCAAACCCAAUACAUUACUGAGAGCUGAUAGGGAAGUACAUUCUCAUUCCGAGCAGGUACCUCAUCAUUUUAAUGCAUUAAUCAAACCUCCACGUCCCUGGCCUGAAGUCCCUGCAUUCAUCAUCAAUUCAAGAUGAACCUAUUAUUUAGGUUCAGAAAAUUGCUCACUAAACACAACCAAGUGUUACCUCUCUGAAGUUGGUGUAACAGGAGCACAGCAGAGACCCCCAUGGGCACUGCAGGACCCUGAGCUGACCAAGCACUGCUCACAUUGCUCCUGACAGCAUCCAGCUUGCCCUGAGCUGAUCAAUUUCACAAACACAUUUCCCAUGCAAAGACUAAAAUAUAAAUCCCAACGCUGUCUCAAAUCUGGAUCUCACCCAGAAGUCAGGAGUCUGUAUUUCUUGGCUCUGAGUACCCUCAAAAAGCACAGAAGGAGCCUUACAGUUAAUAGUAAAUGCCAGGCUGAAUAACAACAGCAACCACCCACACUUGGAUGGAUGGGUUGAGAAGAAGCUUUGUUUCAUUUUAUUGCCCAUUCUGUGACUAAUUGCCAAACUUUUCUUAUUACUGAUAAUUAGGUCCUGGUAGCUUAGCAUCUGCUUCCCCUCCAGCAGCAAAUGCAGGGGAUGCUCUGUGCACCACAGCCAGGGCAGGGCACUAUUGGAGCACACAGCACAACACCGUGUGGGUUCCACAUCUGCACGAGGGCAGAAGGACUGAGCUGCUCCUCACCUCCCCAGAACAAGCAGAGUUUAAUGAGAUGACCCUUGCAGAACACUGAAUUGCUCAUCUUUCCAGCACGCGUAACAACGUAUCUGCAAUAAAAUGAUUAGCAAACUGCAGUGUUUGGGUUUCCUGCUGGUGAAUACUGACUGUCCCUCCAGCUUUCUUUCUGCACUUUGGAUGCAGCCAUCGGGUGAGGGUGAAGCACAGAGCUCAUCACAGGAGCCUGCCUUUGACUUCCUAUGGGUUCAUUCACAAUGUUGGGAAAUAAAGAAUGGGACCAGAUCUCCUUGGGACAUGGGAAGCAUCUCUAAAACACAAAUUAAACGCGGGGAUUAUGAGUAAUUUGGAGAUUUAUGUUCAUCAAUUUUGCAUACGAAAAAUCUAUGCAUUUUUAUAAAAACAUUCAUUUCCU
ensembl:lncRNA